CCUACGGGUGGCAGCAGUGGGGAAUAUUGCACAAUGGGCGAAACUCUGACGCAGCAACGCCGCGUGAAUGAUGAAGGUCUUCGGAUUGUAAAGUUCUGUGAUGGGGGAUGAACACCAUGACGGUACCCCAAUAGCAAGCCACGGCUAACUACGUGCCAGCAGCCGCGGUAAUACGUAGGUGGCAAGCGUUAUCCGGAAUGACUGGGCGGAAAGGGUGAGUAGGUGGUUUAGUAAGUUGGCGGUGUAAUUCCGGGGCUUAACCCCGGGGCUACCGUCAAAACUAUUAGACUAGAGUGCAGGAGGGGUAAGUGGAAUUCCUAGUGUAGCGGUGGAAUGCGUAGAUAUUAGGAGGAACACCAGGGGCGAAGGCGACUUACUGGACUGAAACUGACACUGAGGCACGAAAGCGUGGGGAGCAAACAGGAUUAGAUACCCUUGUAGUC
rnacentral:rRNA from 1 species